AAUGAACGCUGGCGGCAGGCCUAACACAUGCAAGUCGAACGAGGUAGCAAUACCUAGUGGCGGACGGGUGAGUAACGCGUGGGAACGUGCCCCUUGGUACGGAAUAGCCCUGGGAAACUGGGAGUAAUACCGUAUGUGGUCGAGAGACGAAAGAUUUAUCGCCAAGGGAUCGGCCCGCGUUGGAUUAGGUAGUUGGGGGGGUAAUGGCCUACCAAGCCGACGAUCCAUAGCUGGUUUGAGAGGAUGAUCAGCCACACUGGGACUGAGACACGGCCCAGACUCCUACGGGAGGCAGCAGUGGGGAAUCUUAGACAAUGGGGGAAACCCUGAUCUAGCCAUGCCGCGUGAUCGAUGAAGGCCUUAGGGUUGUAAAGAUCUUUCAGCGGGGAAGAUAAUGACGGUACCCACAGAAGAAGCCCCGGCUAACUCCGUGCCAGCCGCCGCCGUAA
rnacentral:rRNA from 1 species